GUUGGUCGCCCUCUCUAUGUUGAGAAGGGCAGGUCACGCCGUGACACCUUCUGUGGAUACUCCUCUCGGCCAGGUCACCCAGACUCUGAUUGCCGUGAGAAGAAGCGGGACCAGAGGCGCUCCUCUUACAGUGCGACUCCUGGAUCUUCAUCGACUCUGUCACUCACUGACCAGGGCAUAGUACGGCUCAAGCAUCUGCUGGCUACCUCUGGCUCUUCAUCGACAUGUUCUGCUGCUGCUGUUGUGAUUUCUUCCACCACACCGCCAACAUCUACAUAG
rnacentral:rRNA from 1 species